rnacentral:rRNA from 1 species
AUUGAACGCUGGCGGCAUGCCUUACACAUGCAAGUCGAACGGCAGCAUGAUAUGGCUUGCUAGAUAGAUGGCGCGUGGCGCAGGCGUGAGUAAUAUACAGGAACGUCCACUGUUGCGGGGGAUAAAUAGUCGAAAGACUAACUCAUACAGCACACAACCUGAGGGUGUAAGUGGGGGACCGCAAGGCCUCUUGCUCUAGGCGAGGCCGAGGUCUGAUUAGCUAGUUGGGGAGGUAAAGGCUCACCAAGGCGACGAGCAGUAGAUGGACUGAGAGGAUGAUCAGCAACACUGGAAGUGAGACACGGUGCAGACUCCUACGGGAGGCAGCAGUGGGGAAUAUUGGACAAUGGGCGCAAGCAGGAUCCAGACAUACGGCGUGGGUGAAGAAGGCAGUCGGGUUGUAAAGCCCUUUUGUGGGGAAAGAAAAGAAGCAGGUUAAUACCCCGCUGUGGUGACGGUACCCAAAGAAUAAGCACCGGCUAACUUCGUG